UUCUGCCAAAAAUCUGGUAAAUUAUGUGUUGCAGGCAAUUUGCUCAAUGUUCACGAGUCCAUAAACUUCAAUACAUAGCUGAAUUAGAAAGAAAUGUACAAGGUUUACAGGUAGCUUUUAGCAUUAGGCAAUGAUAUGCAUCAUGUUUUCUAUGCUAUUUUGGAAAUUUUCUUAUUCUGAUUUAUUAUUUUUUUGUUAUUUACUCUUUUAUGUAUGUCAAUUCAUAGGCAUAAGGAUCUGAAGUAUCUGCCAAGCUUAAAUUUCUUAACCAGCAGAAUCUCAUCCUAAGUAUGGAGAACAAAGCUCUCAAGCAAUGGUUAGAAAGUUUAGCAUAAGAGCAUUUUAUCAAAUAUUGCAUAGGUCUUGUUAUUGAAGUUUUGAUAAAGAAAAAAGAAAAUGGCUUCAAGAUUAGGUAGUGAUGAUGAUGCUGAUAAUAACAAAGGUAGCAUGUGGGCUUUGGAGCAAAAGCUGGAUCAGCUAAUGGAUGAAGAAGCUGCAAGGCUAAAAAAUAUGUACAGAGAAAAAAGUAAGAUAUGCAAACUAAUUUUUCAUGUUCUUGUUUCUCUUUCUAGUUAACUAAAUUGGAAUUCUAUUUGUUUUCUAGGAGAAACUGAAAAAGUAUCCAGUCUUUCCUAAUUAGUAAUUAGCCUUUAAUUAACUUUCUUAAUUAAUUUAUGGAAUUGAGAAAUUAAUGGUAUACAAUUGAAUAAGUGCCUUAUUUAUACUUUUGUUUUUUCCAAUUAUAUUUUUCAUAUUAUAGGAAAAAGGAUACAAUUGGGAAAAAUGCUAUUUUUACUACGUUUUAGUGAUAUGCUGUUUUAACUAGGUAGUAUAGUAGAUAUGCUUGUGCUUUACUUUGAAAAGCGUUGUGUCGAAAAUUCUAGUAAAACAUGUAAAUAUUUUAUUAGCAUUAUGGAUGUAGUUCAACUGGUUCAACUGGAUUUCUUAGCUUUUUCAAGUCUUAUAUAUCGUGUAUUUGUAAUGUGCUACAUUAUAUUUGAAUAAUCCACUUCUGGUUUUCACUUUUCAAAUAAUAGUAAGAGAUGACAGUUGUGUAGAAAAUUUUGUCUUAUUUAUGAGUUAGGACUUUCAUCUGAGAAACUCCUACUAUAUGAAUAUGAAAUCUAAAUGUGAUGAUAUAUAUUCUUUAGUGCUAA